rnacentral:rRNA from 1 species
AACGAACGCUGGCGGCAGGCUUAACACAUGCAAGUCGAGCGCCCCACAAGGGGAGCGGCAGACGGGUGAGUAACGCGUGGGAAUCUACCCAUCUCUACGGAAUAACGCAUGGAAACGUGUGCUAAUACCGUAUACGUCCUUCGGGAGAAAGAUUUAUCGGAGAUGGAUGAGCCCGCGUUGGAUUAGCUAGUUGGUGGGGUAAAGGCCUACCAAGGCGACGAUCCAUAGCUGGGCUGAGAGGAUGAUCAGCCACACUGGGACUGAGACACGGCCCAGACUCCUACGGGAGGCAGCAGUGGGGAAUGUUGGACAAUGGGCGAAAGCCUGAUCCAGCCAUGCCUCGUGAGUGAUGAAGGCCCUAGGGUUGUAGAGCUCUUUCACCGGUGAAGAUAAUGACGGUAACCGGAGAAGAAGCCCCGGCUAACUUCGUGCCAGCCGCCGCCGUAAUAC